rnacentral:rRNA from 1 species
GGGUAGGCGGMCUGAGAGGGCGACCGGCCACACUGGGACUGAGACACGGCCGAGACUCCUACGGGAGGCAGCAGUGGGGAAUAUUGCACAAUGGGCGRAASCCUGAUGCAGCRACGCMGCGUGCGGGAUGACGGCCUUCGGGUUGUAAACCGCUUUCAGCAGGGAAGAAGCGAAAGUGACGGUACCUGCAGAARAAGUACCGGCUAACUACGUGCCAGCAGCCGCGGUAAUACGUAGGGUACGAGCGUURUCCGGAAUUAUUGGGCGUAAAGAGCUCGUAGGYGGUUKGUCRCGUCUGCUGUGGAAACGCAACGCUUAACGUUGCGCGUGCAGUGGGUACGGGCUGACUAGAGUGCAGUAGGGGAGWYUGGAAUUCCUGGUGUAGCGGUGAAAUGCGCAGAUAUCAGGAGGAACACCGGUGGCGAAGGCGGGACUCUGGGCUGUAACUGACACUGAGGAGCGAAAGCAUGGGGAGCGAACAGGAUUAGAUACCCUGGUAGUCCAUGCCGUAAACGUUGGGCACUAGGUGUGGGGGGCAUUCCACGUUCUCCGCGCCGUAGCUAACGCAUUAAGUGCCCCGCCUGGGGGAGUACGG